rnacentral:rRNA from 1 species
GACGUAGGGCGCAAGCGUUGUCCGGAUUUAUUGGGCGUAAAGAGCUCGUAGGCGGCUCGUUGCGUCGGCUGUGAAAUCCCGAGGCUCAACCUCGGGUCUGCAUUCGAUACGGGCAGACUAGAGUUCGGUAGGGGAGUCUGGAAUUCCUGGUGUAGCGGUGAAAUGCGCAGAUAUCAGGAGGAACACCGGUGGCGAAGGCGGGACUCUGGGCCGAUACUGACGCUGAGGAGCGAAAGCGUGGGGAGCAAACAGG